rnacentral:tRNA from 1 species
GCGGCUAUAGUGUAAUGGAUAUCACGUAAGAUUCCGGUUCUUGAGAUGAGGGUUCGAUUCCCCCUAGCCGCA